rnacentral:rRNA from 1 species
CCUACGGGCGGCAGCAGUGGGGAAUAUUGGACAAUGGGGGGAACCCUGAUCCAGCGACGCCGCGUGAGUGAUGAAGUAUUUCGGAAUGUAAAGCUCUAUCAGCAGGGAAGAAAGAAAUGACGGUACCUGAGUAAGAAGCCCCGGCUAACUACGGGCAAGCAGCCGCGGUAAUACGUAGGGGGCAAGCGUUAUCCGGAAUGACUGGGUGUAAAGGGAGCGUAGACGGUUACGCAAGUAUGGAGUGAAAGGCGGGGGCCCAACCCCCGCACUGCUGUUGAAACUGUAUAACUUGAGUACAGGAGAGGUAAGUGGAAUUCCUAGUGUAGCGGUGAAAUGCGUAGAUAUUAGGAGGAACACCAGUGGCGAAGGCGGCUUACUGGACUGUAACUGACGUUGAGGCUCGAAAGCGUGGGGAGCAAACAGGAUUAGAUACCCCUGUAGUC